UCAUCCCUGCUGAUCUGCAGGAGACCCAUCCCGAGACUCCCAGUGGAUGCCAGAAACCACAGACAGUACCGAACCCUAUGUUUUUUCCUCUACGUACACACCUGUGAUCAAGCUUGAUUUAUAAAUUAGGCACAGUCAAGAGUUUUCAAGAUACCCGGUGAGAGGACGGAAACAAACUCAGGAAGCUGCAGCGUGCCAGGAUCGGUGUAAACACAUCACACCUGCCUCCUGCCUCCUGUCACCCCAUGGGAAGGUCUAUCUCCCUCUGUGCAAAGGGGGAAGAUGAGGCUGAGAAAGCAGAGUGCCCAACGUAUCAAGGCAUGUUGGAGGAGAAAACAAUACUUGUCUAGGAACCCAGAGGCUUCUUCCCUACUUGUCUAGUUCUCCCUUUUCUGCCCAGAGAAUGAAGAUUGAAAGAGAACUUGCUGUACCCUUUCCGGCCCUUCCACCUGCUCAGACUCUUUCAUCUUCUCAACCACAAUGGAGUUCAUGUCCUCAUGGGACAAUGGUCACGGGGGAUUGGGAGGGUGUAGGGGAGGGGGCUUGUCACACUAGGGAAUUACCAAAACUCUAGGUGCUGAAUA